AAAUUUUCAGUAAAUUUUUAGUAUUAUCUUUCACUAUUGUACCUUUUAUUGUAGUGAUCCUUUGGACUAGAAUGUUUUCUAAACUGCCUUAUUCUUACUUUGGAUUUUAUCUUGUUAACUCCCUUCUUACCCAAUAGGUUCCAGGAUCCCAGAAGUCUUGCCUCAUUCACAGUCUGAAUGCUCUUCUGUUACUUAUCACACCAUAUUGCAGUAAUCUGUUCACAAGCCACUGGACCACCAGUGCUUCCAAAAACGACACACUGGAGUAAAUAUAGAAGGCUUCUUAUAAUUCAAGUUUCUGAGAACUGGGGGGAUCAAUACCUUGGGAACAUCUGUGACAUUUCUGAGGUACAGUAUAGAGGUUGGGAGUUCUAGCUUUAGAGUUAGUCGUCUGGUAAACAAGAAGUCAAAUGCAACAAAACAUAUCAGAUCAACCAAAAUGCCAGAGCACUAUGUUGAUAGAUGUUACACUACUCAAAACAGAUUAACUGCCUCCUCCUCUAUGCCCGUCAUGGAGUACAGUUGUUUUUGAAGGCAGGAAUGAAUUUAAUUAUAUAAUAAUAACAACUAACAUUUGAAUACUUUCUGGAAGUUUAAAGCACUGAUUCUCAAGUUUCAGUGUGUAUGAGACUUAUCUGGAGAAGUAGCUGAAAUGUAGAUUCCUGAACUAUACCCUCAGAAAUUCUGAUUCUUGGCAGUGGAGUUCAAGAAUCUGCAUUUUUAACAGGUAUCCAAAUGAUUCUAAUGUAGAUGUCUCUGGACCAUAUAUGUUAAGCAGCACUGGUUUCAAAUGUAAGAAAAAAAAUACUACAACCUUUAGUAAAACACUUUAAUACACUUUAUAGCUUGAUCCAAUUCACACACACACAUUUGUGUUGUGUGUGUGUGUGUGUGUGUGUGUGUAUUGCAGAGUUUCACAUACAUAUAUGUGAAUAUAUAUAUAUAUGACAGAAUUUCACAAAAUAAUACUAACCCUUACUAUGUGCUAUAUAGUGAUAUAUUUUCUACUUUACUCAAUUUCAUCAGAAAAACAUUGCUCAUGAUAACAUUGAUUUCACAUCAUUUAUCUCAUUUGAGCUUCAAAUCAGUGCUGCAAAGUGAAAAGUCAAAGUCGCUCAGUCGUGUCCAACUCUUUGCGAUCCCAUGAAGGUAAGCACCUUUAACUGCAUCUUUUUUCACUUGAAAGUUAAAUCUUGGAGAGGAUUAAAGUUCCC
rnacentral:lncRNA from 1 species